rnacentral:rRNA from 1 species
CAGCCGCCGCGGGAAUACGAAGGGGGCUAGCGUUGUUCGGAAUUACUGGGCGUAAAGGGCGCGUAGGCGGCCAUUCAAGUUAGAUGUGAAAGCCCUGGGCUCAACCUAGGAAUUGCAUUUGAUACUGUUUGGCUUGAGUUCGGGAGAGGUGAGUGGAAUUCCCAGUGUAGAGGUGAAAUUCGUAGAUAUUGGGAAGAACACCAGUGGCGAAGGCGGCUCACUGGACCGACACUGACGCUGAGGCGCGAAAGCGUGGGGAGCAAACAGGAUUAGAUACCCGCGUAGUCCCUGUCUUUUAUAC